rnacentral:rRNA from 1 species
UGGCGCACGGGUGCGUAACGCGUGGGAAUCUGCCCUUAGGUACGGAAUAACUCAGAGAAAUUUGUGCUAAUACCGUAUGAUGUCGAAAGACCAAAGAUUUAUCGCCUAAGGAUGAGCCCGCGUAAGAUUAGCUAGUUGGUAAGGUAAAAGCUUACCAAGGCGACGAUCUUUAGCUGGUCUGAGAGGAUGAUCAGCCACACUGGGACUGAGACACGGCCCAGACUCCUACGGGAGGCAGCAGUGGGGAAUAUUGGACAAUGGGCGAAAGCCUGAUCCAGCAAUGCCGCGUGAGUGAUGAAGGCCUUAGGGUUGUAAAGCUCUUUUACCAGGGAUGAUAAUGACAGUACCUGGAGAAUAAGCUCCGGCUAACUCCGUGCCAGCAGCCGCGGUAAUACGGAGGGAGCUAGCGUUGUUCGGAAUUACUGGGCGUAAAGCGUACGUAGGCGGUUAUUCAAGUCAGAGGUGAAAGCCUGGAGCUCAACUCCAGAACUGCCUUUGAAAC